rnacentral:lncRNA from 1 species
GUCUUCUUUAGGACAAAAGGAUUAGAAGUAAUUUUAGAAGGUUAAAGAAAAAUAGAAAGAAAGGAAAGCAAGCCAUUAGAGUUCUUUAAGAAUUCUGCAUUAAGGAUCAAAGUCUUUGGAGCUUAAGACUUAAAUCAAGUUUUCGUGUGGAUCAACGUUGGAGGGUGAACACUUGGGCACCUAGUGGAAAUUCUGCAUAUUGGAUUAGCGUUAGAGGUAUUCUUCUAUUUCUGCAUUUAUAUUAUAUUAUUUGAUUGCUUCCAUUAAGGUGAUCUUGGCUUA